UCUUUCAAUUGUUCUUUGUUUGUUCUUGUCUUGUUAGGAUUUUAUUCCCAAAAUUUACAAACUUAACAUGGUAUCAGAGCCAUCAAGCUUGGAACAAACAGAUCUUCUACCAGCUGUGUAGAUCCUUCUUAAUUUUCAGUUGAUUCGUACUUUUUUUUUUUUCUCUUUCUUCUUCUCUACAGGAGCUCAAUUAGGACCUACUUUCACCAUUGAUCAUCUUCAUCCACUCUAUUUAUACCCGUUAGAUGCACCAUGAUCACUUAAUGUUGGCAUUAUGCUGAGUGGAACUGACAAUUACACUAUGUGGAGCAAAGCUAUACAACUGGCUUUGCUUGGAAAGAACAAGGUUGACUUCAUUGAUGGAAUAGUAAAAUGAGAUCAGAUUUCAAGAGACUUAGCUCACCUUUGGGAUAGAUGCAAUGCAAUGCAAGCACAGUUUACUGAAUUCUAUGCUAUGAAAUGUUCAACUGCCUAUCGAAGAUUCUGCUCAUGUCUCACAUAUUGAAGAUUUUCAUAUAUGAGGAGGACUCAUUUGGGAAGGUGAGAGUGACUAGUGAAUAAAAUGAUGGUCUAUACACAUUGUGUUCUCAGAUAGGUGAUGUGCAAGCAACACCAUAGAGAUGUUUGGCAGCAACACCAAGUUUUGAUGUUACUGUCUGGCAUCAAAGACUAUGCCAUGUCCCUAUGAGCGUAAUAAGAAAAAAUAAUGCUUUUCAUAGUUUUGGUAAUACGUUUACUUUACAUAGUUGUGAAGCUUGUCCUCUGGUCAAACAGACCAGAGUACUUUUUAUACGUAGUACUAUUAAGUUUACUUGUAGUUUCCAACUGAUUCACAUGAAUGUUUGGGGUCCUCAUAAGGUUGAAGCUUUUAAUGGCAU